GAUUCAUUGCCCAUUCUGUUGGGCGAGUGAAAGCAGGUGUUCCCUUGAUAAUUUUUAAUUUUUGUAUUGACUUUGUAGUGAGAUAGUUUGUGAUAAUAGUAAAAAACGGUAACAUCGAUCAUGACUGAGCUUAAUGCAAAGUUAAUUGGACGGUGCUGUCACCUCAGCCUAUACAGCAGGGAAUGACUGAUGAUAUUGAACAGUGAAGUGAAAAGGAUUUGAUGCAGGAAUAAUAUAAGAAGAAGAAGAGUUGGGUGCUAGAGUGACUUCACCAUGACAACUGCACCCCUAGCCACAACUUGGUUUUAGGAAGUGGAAACUAGAAGAUAAUUUCCUUCUUCUGAGGAGGGGAAUUUUCACUUGUUCAGUGAUAUUACAACGUGAAAUUGCCAUUAUGACAUCCUCAUUACCAGUUCCUGAAACCACUAUUCAGAGUACACAGACUACGCUAUCGUAUGCGUAUAUUGCAGCUACGUGUGAGGGUUCCUCCCAAAUUGUUCCUCAGGCAUUGCUUCAUAAAGAUGGGCACCCCGUGAUAAAGGAAGAGCAUAGUGACACUGCCACAGGGAGAAUUUCUCCUAAAAAGGAUAAUCUUAUCAAGAAACCGUACCAGUGUACCAUAUGCAGUAAAGGCUUCACAACAAAAUCAUAUUUCACCCAACAUGUUGCUGUGCACAGGGAAGGGAAAACACAUUGCCCAGUAUGCAAUAAAUCAUUUAAUGUCAAGUGGUAUGUAAGGGACCACAUGAGAUUACAUACUGGAGAGAAGCCCUACGAAUGUUUAUUGUGUGGGAAAAGUUUCAGUUUUAAAUCCCACCUUGAUUGGCACAAGUCAAAGCACUCCGAUUAAAAUUUUGUUACCUUGUGUAUUAAAUGUUAUGUGCAGAACUGCUGAAUAGCAAGUGAUCAGGAAUGAAGUGAAGACAAUGUAAUUCAUUUUAAAGGUCUUAAACAUUAUGAGUUGACUCCCAGGAACAAUGGUGCUCAUAUUUAUAUUGAAUAAUACUGCUCGCCGAUUCUGUUUUAUUUUAUUUUAUUGCGUUUAUAAUAUGUCGGGUAAUGUAUGUGUUAACCAUUUUAGUGUUAGCCAGUUCAAUUAAGGUUGGCAAAUCUGAUUUAAGUUAUGCAGAACUUCCAUUUAAUGUGAAGGUUAAGAAUACAUGGAGAUAUGACUUACUCUCCCACAUGUUCAUGGCCUUGUACUAGAUUAAGUACAGGGACAAAUUACCUUCAGAAGUGUUCAAGAUAUGAUGUUCUAUCUAGAAUUUUGUAAAUAUAUAUGACUGAGAUUUAUUCUGAAAUAUUCAUCCCUUAAGCUUUACUGGCAUAAUUAAUAUACAAGUUAUGUAGAUUCUAUUAGAAUAAAAACUGUUAGUGUAUCAGACAGUA